AUUGAACGCUGGCGGCAUGCCUUACACAUGCAAGUCGAACGGCAGCACGGGAGCAAUCCUGGUGGCGAGUGGCGAACGGGUGAGUAAUGUAUCGGAACGUGCCCAGUCGUGGGGGAUAACGUAGCGAAAGCUACGCUAAUACCGCAUACGAUCUGUGGAUGAAAGCGGGGGACCGUAUGGCCUCGCGCGAUUGGAGCGGCCGAUAUCAGAUUAGGUAGUUGGUGGGGUAAAGGCCUACCAAGCCGACGAUCUGUAGCUGGUCUGAGAGGACGACCAGCCACACUGGGACUGAGACACGGCCCAGACUCCUACGGGAGGCAGCAGUGGGGAAUUUUGGACAAUGGGCGCAAGCCUGAUCCAGCAAUGCCGCGUGCAGGAUGAAGGCCUUCGGGUCGUAAACUGCUUUUGUACGGAGCGAAAAGGCUCUCUCUAAUACAGGGGGCUCAUGACGGUACCGUAAGAAUAAGCACCGGCUAACUACGUGCCAGCAGCCGCCGUAA
rnacentral:rRNA from 1 species